rnacentral:lncRNA from 1 species
ACAUUAUUGAACCAGUCAAUUUGAAGUCACUUCUGGAUAAUAACAGUGAAGUCAAUCUUUGUAGUCCAAACCAUACAAGGGGUUGAUUUUUCUAUCACACAUUGUAUCUCACCAACUUGAGUUUGUAACUUUUUUGCUUGAAGUAUACGGGAAACUGAAGUACCUUGAGUUAUAAACUUUUAAUUGCAUUUAAAAGUUCGGGGGUAUGUUUUAAUCAUGGAAACUUGGACAGAAAAAAAAUUAAUAAUCAUCUUUCUACAUAAAGCAUACUAGUUUUUGAUUUUCUUUACUCUAGAUUUUACUCUUUCAUUUUUUCCCUUUGUAUUUACAUUGUAACUUCUGUAAAUAGAGUCAGUGAGCUGAGAGUUGUUGAACUCCUUGAUGGGCUUUGUGACAAGAUGCAAGAUUAUACUCUUGAGAAGGUAAACUCUUUCUUCAGGAUUGAUUUCCAUUUGUCUUUUUAUCUGUUCAUAUACAUGUGUCACAAUGUGCUCUGCGAGAUAUAUUUCAGGACAAUGAGAAAAGCAUUCCUUAGUAAAUUAUCUAAAACCCUCACAAUGUCACCAUAGACUUUUGCCGGUCUUUCAUAGAUAAGCAAUCAUUUGUAAAAGAAUGUAUAUGAACAGUACAUAUUUUGGCGUUCGGCCGUUCGUACAUUAUUUGGCGUUUGUGCAUUAAUUGCCGCCUACAUUGUCUGUCAUUGGUGGAAAUUUACUUCGAUUUGAGUUGAAUUUCACAAAACAUACAUCUCAUAUAUAUUUUGAUGCUUGGGUCUCCUGUUUGCAGAAAGAUUCGACUAGACAAGUUUGGAUCAAAGUAGAUGACUGGGAUAACCUCACUGCCAGUAUGUGCAUGCCUUCUUCAUUGAAUUAGCGUGUCUUGUUUUUUUGCUAAGAUGGUUCCAUAAACUUAUAACUACAUUUUCCAUAUACCACUCCUUUCAUAGUAAUAAGUGUCUCAUUUCCUUCAACAUGUUUUCCCAUUAUAUCUGUACAAAUAGCAUUAUCUUCAUAGAUUAGUUAUAACUUAUCACACAAUAAUCUAGUGUAUCCGAUCUGAUUCCUUACUAUGACACAGUUUUCUUUAGACUUUCAUGAUAAGUAACUUUGCUAUUAAAUAAAAUUUUCAACCAAAAGAGAGAGAAAGGGAAAAUGAGUAGUGAUGUGCUAAUUUCCACAUAAUAUAUGUUUCUCCUGAAAUUUUUGUUAUAAUUUUUUUUGGAUAAAUUGGUUCUAGAAGAUUCAUGAUGAAAUAUUUGAUAUCUCCAUUUAAGCCUCUGCAGAAAAAUCAAAAUCUUCUAAUUGACAUUAAUAUGUAACUUUUCUAGAGGUCGGAAGAGAGAAACCUGGCACCUAUUGUAAUUAAGUAUGUAUUUGUAUCAAAGUUUAUCAGUAGGGAAUGUGAAAUUAGCAUCUUAUAUAUAGUCUAGACCUAGAGACAGAAUCAUUGUUCUAAAUUGUGUUUGAGGCGCACGCCUCGAGGCACGCCUCAUAGCGAGGCAACAGGUUGCUGGUGCGAGGCUUACGCCUCACAAGGAAAAACAGAUGCUAGUGCCUCUUUUGGCUGAGGCUUACGCCUCAGUGCGUUGCGCCUCAAGGCGGUCCAAGGCGUGGGCCUUGAUUUGAAGUGGAAAAAAAACCCUUAGUAUGAAACACGAACUGCGACUUCUUCUUGCGACUUCAGUUCGCGGCUUCAGUUAGUGACUUCGUGCGACUUUUUCUUCCUCUGUCAUCUUCUUCUUACUCUUUCUCUGUUUUCUUAUUCUUCCUCUGUCUUCGAUUUUUUUAAGUCUAUCAACAAAGUUGUUUCAUUAUACUAUUCUUAUAUUUAACUACUAUAAUUCAUUUUUAAAAAGGGUUUUAUUUUUAUUUUUUAAAAUUAAUUUAUAUGAAAAUUUUAAAUUAAUAGAAAUGCAUUUAAUUUAAUUAUUACAGCUGCCAAUUCACAAAUUAAAUAAAAAGUACUAUAUACGAUUUGUUAUUUUUAAAGCUUGUGAAUCUGUCAAUUUUAAAAAUUAAAAUAAGAGUAUUUUUGUGAAACAUAAGAAGUAUUUAACUAACUACUUAAUAAAAUUAAAAUAAACAAAAAUAAAAUUAUGCUCAUAAGAUAUUUAACAUUUGUAAAUAGAAGUAUUAUUUUUGUGGAACAGAUACAAUAUCCUAUAGUUAACAUGGAAUAAUUUGGGUCAAAUAUUAAAUUUAAAUGAAAUCGUAUUAUAUCAAUACUCAAUUUAUUAUUUUAAUAAUAUUUUUUAAGUCAUUUAUACAACAAUAAUUAUAAUUAGAAAUAAUAUUAAGAGUUACCUCACUGAUUUAAAUUCCCUUCUCUCCCCCAACAAUCCGUCUCCAAAACCAACUUUCCUUAAUUCCUCCUUAUUCUUCUUCCUCAUAUUUAUAAUAUACCCUUGACCUUCAGAAUCAAAAUUAGAACCGAUCUAUCCCAUGGUUACUUUAUAAUGAUGGGUUAUUUUAUGAUAUUAUUAGCAUUUUUUUAUAAUUUUUUGGGGACUUUUAUGUUUGCAAAUCGAAGCUUACGCCUCGUCUCGUCCCGUCCGGAGAAAAACGCGUCGUACCGCUUUUAGCUUUUUCGAACAUUGGACAGAAUGAGGGUAUUACGAAACCAAGUACUCUUACCUUUGAGUUUGACAGAUCUCCUAAGACUACAAUAGGUUUUUUUUGUUGUUGUUGAUAAAACUAAGAACUAUAGUAGAUUAUUGGGCGUUAAGUAUAAAUAUAAUUAUUUUGUAUAUAAGUCUAGUUUUUUGAGCCAGUGUGAGAGAAAGUUUUCUGAUUUUCAUAUUCUUCUUUUUAUUGUACUUGGGGUGAGGGGAUGUGCAGCUUCAUGCUUUAUUUUACGGUGGGUGCAUGAUGAUUAUAGUGUUUUCUGUUGCCAUUCGACUAAUUGUAUUAAUGAUAAAAGAAAAAACUAAUAGUUAUUAAAUAUCAUCCAAUAUUCCUGAUGUGAUAAAAAUAUGUAACUGCAAGUGCACAGUGUCUAAUUGAAGAACUGACAAGUAUAGGUCGAACCCACAGAGACUAGAUUAAUUCUUUAAUAUAUCCUUAUUUAAUAUUUUAGGCAAAUUAGAAAUAAAUAUGGUGGAGAGAAUUUAUUAACUAAAUUAUGCAAACUAUUAAUUAAUAACGGAAACUAUUAAUGAGAAAAGAUACCUAGGAAUCAGAAUCCACCAAAUAUUAACAUAAUAAAUAAUUUCUUAUUUUCUAAAUCAAUUCCCAAAUUAUUCUCCCUUCCCUUUAAAAAUAAUGAUUCAUAUAAUUAAUAUGGGCAAGCAUAAGUUAUGAAAAAUUCACAGAUUAACUAUAACUUAUCAAAACCUCGCAAUCAAUAUAAAAAUCAUAUGCAAUUUAUGCGGAGGAAAAUAUGAAGGCGAAAAUAAUUAGGCAUUAAUUAUGGAACGGAAAGAAAAUAUAAUUAUGAAAUACUUAGUUUCAUCAUAAUCCUAGGUAUUAGAAAUUUAGCUAGCCAUGGAAUUAAAAACAAAAACAAAUAAUAUUAGUACUACAAUUCGCAUGAAAUAAGAACAAUAAUUAAAAAGAGAAUUUCUAUUAUAUAAAUAAAAGAAAGUUACAAAUACUCCCUGACAGUAUGUUCCACACGUGAUUGGAAUAAGAGAGACAAACUCUAAAUAUCUUCUCACUCCUACACUAGUGAAAAACUAAGAAAAAUAAAAUAACAAGUGAUCCUUUCUCUCUAAAACAAGAGGCCUAUUUAUAGGGAAAAUAACUUUGAACCCUAAUUUAGAUUCAUUGAACUUGGACACUUUGGUUCCCUUUCCAUGUAGGAUUCAACUUCCUAGUGGCAAUCAACUUCUCAAGAAGAUCUUCUAGAUAGACUUUCCUUUCUCUUGUUGGAUUUGACUUUCACACCAAUAUUGUUCCACCUCUUUCCUUCUCCUUGUAGAAUUCUUCUUGAAUAUUCCUUGUAUGAAUAAAAGCAUUAAAUAUCCCUUGAUCACCAAGAUUUUGACUUUAUUGCAACAAUUAUUAAAUCCUACAAAAUAAAAUAAAACAUAUUAAUUUAAUAAACUAAUAUAAUUAAAAGGACAAAAUUAGGGAUAACAAAAUGUAUGAAUUACGUGUUUAUCAAAUACUCCCAUACCUAGCUUUUGCUCUU